rnacentral:rRNA from 1 species
GAGCACGUAGGUGGGUUUGUAAGUCAGACGUGAAAGCCUUCUGUUCAACGGAAGAAUUGCAUCUGAAACUACAAACCUUGAGUGUAGGAGGGGAGAAUGGAGCUUCUGGUGGAGCGGUGAAAUGCGUAGAUAUCAGAAGGAACGCCGGCGGCGAAAGCGAUUCUCUGGCCUAUUACUGACACUCAGUGUGCGAAAGCUAGGGGAGCAAACGGGAUUAGAUACCCCGGUAGUCCUAGCCGUAAACGAUGGGCACUAAGUAGAGGGGUUU